UUGAACAGGAGCUUAAUUUGAGAUCAUGAUUCCAAAAGCCAAAAGAAAGAAGCUACAUGUAAUUUGAGAGAUGCUUACUCAUCUCUGCCUCCUUUUACCAGUUCCUUAUUCAGGGAGAAGAAGCUGAAUCAGCCAUUGCAGAUUGCCUGCUGCCUCCUCUGCCCCUGCAGCCUGGAAGGGACCCCUCCUGCUACCAAGCAAAGCAGGGAGUAAAAAUCCAAAUACCAUGCCCUUGACUUGGUUAUGGAAAAGAAAACAGAUGAAAAAUGUCCCUGUUCAUGGUCAGAAAUUACCACACUAACCUGUGAUAGCUGAAUCAUGGAAGUUAAAAAGACCAGACUUCUGUGAAAGAAGGGGAAGAGAAGAGAAGAGAAGAGAAGAGAAGAGAAGAGAAGAGAAGAGAAGAGAAGAGAAGAGAAGAGAAGAGAAGAGAAGAGAAGAGAGAAGUAUUUCAGAAGGAUCCACAAAUCACAUCUCCAGAUCACACAGAAAAAGAAUCACCCUGUACAGAAAUCACCACCCAGCGAGUAUCUGCCAGCUUCAGUUUUCAUACAGGCCCUUUACUUCCUACCACUUACCCAGGAACUGAACUGAGCCUGCAGUGUCAAACCUCAGUAUUAAUGAACUUGUUUUUUUUACAGCUAUGACAGGAUUUGGCUUUUCUGACUAUAAACCUCCCCUUCUAAGAAAAAAAAGGAGAUAAACAGCCCAAAAGAAAUAAAGGGCACCACAUUUAAGGCUGAAUUGAAAUAAAUGUCCUACCAAACUCAGCAAUAUCCUGUAUUGAUGAUGAGUUUAGCAGUUUACAAAUGUAUACUCAAAAAAGAGGGUCCUCUCUGAAUGCCUCAAUAUUUCCAGCAUAUCCCAUAAUAAGCCUAAUGGUUUACCACAUAAUUGCAUCAUUAGUAAAACGGUGUUCUUCUUCAGUUACAACUUUCUAUUGGCUUACAGAAAGGAUUUCAAAUUUGCAUUUAAAUGAAAUUGAGCAAAGAGUGAUAAAGGCUUCAAUUAAAAGGCCACCUGUUUUUGUUAAUUCAUUUUUAAUAGGAACAGUAAAUAUUUUCAGUUGAUGCACUUUCUGCUUCAAGAUUAGUACAUUCUUCUCUUCUUUAUCUCCAGUGUCAGACACCCCUCAUUAGAGGAGUCUGUCAUUUUCUCUGACUAAAGGAACCUGUCUCAAGUUUUAUGAAUCUGUUGGUACAAGACAAAUAAUAAAGUAAACCAAAGAGCUAUUUAGAAAAUGCAAACAAAAACACCCCAACGUAUGAUCAAAGUAAAUUCUGUAAAUAAAUUAUUUCAAAAAAUCAAUUAGUUCCAAGGAUGGGUGGAAGCUGGUUCCACAAACAAAACACUCAAAUUCUUUCUUCAUUUACACUCUUCUUGGAGGUUGCUGAUCUCACUUGGGCACACUGGUAUGAAACAAAAGUAAUCUUCCAUGUCAUAAUUAUGUAAUGCAAUUAAAACUUAAGGAUUACAAAUAUGUAAAACACAAAUCAUGACAAGAAGCUUUUGUGAAAUACAAACCCAACUGGUGUUCACAGAGUAUGAGCUCCAACUGGCAUCUGGAAAUAAUAAAUCUUUCUAUAAAAUGCCUUCCUUUGAUGCUAAUUUUUUUCACUUUUUUGCUCUUGUCUUCUUGGUUUACAGGUCUAGUUUUGUUCAGUUGCCAUUAGAAACUGAGCAACUCAUCUUGCUUAUCUAAUAUUUUUGAAAUAAUUUGUUGCCAUAAUUGCUUCUGUUUUCCAUUUACUGUAACCAUAACUACUAAUUUGCUAACAACUGCUGCACAUCUGUUAUAACCAAAGCUUAAAAAUCCAGAAUAUCCACAAGAACAACUUGCAGUGGACUCUUCUCUUUUGGGAUGCAGCAUAAGCAUUUAAAUAAAGAAUUGAAGCAUUUAAUUAGUUUUUGCUUGUUUCCUGUUAGCAGGACAUCAUAGCAGAAAAUAAAUGGAUUAAGUUUCUUGUAACACAAGCUGGGAGAGAUCUUCACAGUUGCUUUUCAUUCUCAGAUUCUUAUUUAAGGGAAACACAGGGGUCCAAUCCCACUUUUAAAAUCUUUAUCUUUGAUUUAAAUCAUGACUGUUUUUUUAAUGCUAUGUGAUU